rnacentral:rRNA from 1 species
GUGGGUUUGUAAGUCGGGCGUGAAAUCCCUCGGCUUAACCGAGGAACUGCGUCCGAAACUGCAUGGCUUGAGGACGGAAGGGGAAGGUGGAAUUCCUGGUGGAGCGGUGAAAUGCGUAGAUAUCAGGAGGAACGCCGGUGGCGAAAGCGGCCUUCUGGUCCGUUUCUGACGCUGAGGUGCGAAAGCUAAGGGAGCAAACAGGAUUAGAUACCCUGGUAGUCCUAGCCGUAAACGAUGGGCACUAAGUAGAGGGG